rnacentral:rRNA from 1 species
CACGUAGGGCGCAAGCGUUGUCCGGAAUUAUUGGGCGUAAAGAGCUCGUAGGCGGUCUGUUACGUCUGCUGUGAAAACUCGGGGCUUAACCCCGGGCCUGCAGUGGGUACGGGCAGACUAGAGUGCGGUAGGGGAGACUGGAAUUCCUGGUGUAGCGGUGAAAUGCGCAGAUAUCAGGAGGAACACCGGUGGCGAAGGCGGGUCUCUGGGCCGUAACUGACGCUGAGACGCGAAAGCGUGGGGAGCAAACAGG